ensembl:lncRNA
AGCCGGAGCAGACUGCGGAGGUGUUCCGUGUCCCCGAGCCGGAGCAGACUGCGGAGGUGUUCCGUGUCCCCGAGCCGGAGCAGACUGCGGAGGUGUUCCGUGUCCCCGAGCCGGAGCAGACUGCGGAGGUGUUCCGUGUCCCCGAGCCGGAGCAGACUGCGGAGGUGUUCCGUGUCCCCGAGCCGGCGCCGCCGACUACCCCGGAGGUUUCCCGUGUCCCCGAGCCGGCGCCGCCGACUACCCCGGAGGUUUCCCGUGUCCCCGAGCCGGCGCCGCCGACUACCCCGGAGGUUUCCCGUGUCCCCGAGCCGGCGCCGCCGACUACCCCGGAGGUUUCCCGUGUCCCCGAGCCGGCGCCGCCGACUACCCCGGAGGUUUCCCGUUUCUCAGAGCCUGCCAUUCCUGAGACGUUCCGUGCCCUGUGGUCACCGCUCCGGAGCCGGCGAAAGGACCGCCCGCCGGGCCGACCCCCAGAGGCUCCCCGCUCGUCUGGCCGCCCGCCGGGCCGCCCGCCAGAGUUUCCCGGGUGGUCCGACCAACGUCUCGGGUUUCCCUCCCCCCCACCCCUUGUUUUGCUCUAGUGUGAGCCGCCUGGAAGUCGGCCCUUGAGGGGGGGGGUACUGUCACGGUGUGGUUCACUUCCUGUCUUAUUUUGUAGUUUUCUGCCACUCGUGUCCCCGGGUAACUUCACUUCCUGCCUUGUCUCGUCAUCCCCUGUGUUCGUCUAAUAGUUUCCACCUGUGUCCAAUCACCUGCACCUCCCUUGUGUAUUUAAGCAGUGUGUCUCCUGUGUCACUUGUCGCGUCAUUGUCUUUCGUCUUGGAUCGUCGUAGUCUCUUGCCUGUGUGCGUUUGCCCCCAGUUCCGGUGUUUUUUGAUCCUUGUGACUAUUAAAGUCUUUUGUUUGCCGCAAGUCUGCGUUUGAGUCCUGCCUUCCACCCUCAACCCUGACA